rnacentral:rRNA from 1 species
AUACGUAGGGGGCGAGCGUUGUCCGGAAUGAUUGGGCGUAAAGGGCGCGUAGGCGGCCCGGUAAGUCUGGAGUGAAGGUCCUGUUUUUAAGAUGGGAAUUGCUUUGGAUACUGUCGGGCUUGAGUGCAGGAGAGGUAAGUGGAAUUCCCAGUGUAGCGGGGAAAUGCGUAGAGAUUGGGAGGAACACCAGUGGCGAAGGCGACUUACUGGACUGUAACUGACGCUGAGGCGCGAAAGUGUGGGGAGCAAACAGGAUUAGAUACCCUGGUAGUCCACACUGUAAACGAUGAAUGCUAGGUGUAGGGGGUAUCGACCCCUUCUGUGCCGCAGUCAACACAAUAAGCAUUCCGCCUGGGGAGUACGGCCGCAAGGUUGAAACUCAAAUGAAUUGACGGGG